UACGUAGGGUGCGAGCGUUGUCCGGAAUUAUUGGGCGUAAAGGGCUCGUAGGCGGUUUGUCGCGUCGGGAGUGAAAUCCACUGGCUUAACUGGUGGCUUGCUUUCGAUACGGGCAGACUGGAGGUAUGCAGGGGGAGAACGGAAUUCCUGGUGUAGCGGUGAAAUGCGUAGAUAUCUGGAGGAACACCGGUGGCGAAGGCGGCAUCCUGGACCGAGAUUGACGCUGAGGCGCGAAAGCCAGGGGAGCAAACGGG
rnacentral:rRNA from 1 species